rnacentral:lncRNA from 1 species
UAAUAUUUUAAGAACACUGCAUAAAUAAUUUGUAUAGCGUAAAAGUAAAAUAAAUUCAUAUAUAUUGUAAUACAAAUAAUCAAGGUAUAAAAUUAAAUUUGCAGUGACACGUGGGCCCACGAACGACCAAAAGUAUCUAGAGAGAUAAACCUACAUAUUUUGAGGAUGCCAAUCCAAUUGUAAUCCUCGAUGAAAUGAGCUAUCUACAGAUUUUCCUU